AACUUGGAGGUCUGGCUUAAUUUAGAAUGUGGUUCGAUGCAGAUAUUUGAACAUAGUAGAAAUUAGAGAAUAAGGCACAGAUACUGAACCUCGAUGGCAUUAAGUACCUGGUCAUUGGCACUCUUCAGAUUAGCAAUCCCUUUGAGGCAAGAGGAAGGUGCUAUAAAAUCUCCUGCACUCAUGGAUGCCACCCCCACAUAGUACCCUGUGCUGACUGACAUCAAGUUUAAGCCCUCGGAAGAACUUCCAGCCAAGGAUUUCAUCCUGCCUCUGGUGGAAGCCAUAGCCUUCUCCUUUUCACAAGCCAAGGUUUCUCUCCAGCCUGGCAGCUUCAGUCCAUUGUUUCUAUCGAGCCACUCCACAGACCCUUGUGGUAUAUAGCCCUUUAGCAAGAAUGCUGCAGCAUUCCGUGUUGCCCUUUUAAGCAAGAAUGUCUGCUGUUCUGUCUCCAGGGGUCCUGUCCUGGCUGCCUCACACAGUUCUGGUAGCUAUUGGCAUAUAUGAAUUUUAUAUGCAAUUCAUGCUGUCCCCUCAGUCAGUCUGCAGGGUAGAUGGCUGGCUUACAGGCCAUCCUGGCAGUGGUGAGAUCAUUGUUCUCUGUCGUA
rnacentral:lncRNA from 1 species